GAUGAACGCUAGCUACAGGCUUAACACAUGCAAGUCGAGGGGCAGCAUGGUCUCAGCUUGCUAAGGCCGAUGGCGACCGGCGCACGGGUGAGUAACACGUAUCCAACCUGCCGUCUACUCUUGGACAGCCUUCUGAAAGGAAGAUUAAUACAAGAUGGCAUCAUGAGUCCGCAUGUUCACAUGAUUAAAGGUAUUCCGGUAGACGAUGGGGAUGCGUUCCAUUAGAUAGUAGGCGGGGUAACGGCCCACCUAGCCUACGAUGGAUAGGGGUUCUGAGAGGAAGGCCCCCCACAUUGGAACUGAGACACGGUCCAAACUCCUACGGGAGCAGCAGUGAGGAAUAUUGGUCAAUGGGCGAGAGCCUGAACCAGCCAAGUAGCGUGAAGGAUGACUGCCCUAUGGGUUGUAAACUGCUUUUAUAAGGGAAUAAAGUGAGUCUCGUGAGACUUUUUGCAUGUACCUUAUGAAUAAGGACCGG
rnacentral:rRNA from 1 species